rnacentral:rRNA from 1 species
UACGUAGGGCGCAAGCGUUGUCCGGAAUUAUUGGGCGUAAAGAGCUCGUAGGCGGUUUGUCGCGUCUGCUGUGAAAUCCCGAGGCUCAACCUCGGGCUUGCAGUGGGUACGGGCAGACUAGAGUGCGGUAGGGGAGACUGGAAUUCCUGGUGUAGCGGUGGAAUGCGCAGAUAUCAGGAGGAACACCGGUGGCGAAGGCGGUUCUCUGGGCAUUACCUGACGCUGGAGGAAGCGGAAAGCAUGGGGAGCGAACAGG